rnacentral:rRNA from 1 species
UACAGAGGGGGCAAGCGUUAUUCGGAAUUAUUGGGCGUAAAGGGCGCGUAGGCGGCUUUGCAAGUGACGGGUGAAAGCCCUCGGCUUAACCGAGGAACUGCCUGUCAGACUGUAAGGCUUGAGACCGGGAGAGGUGAGUGGAAUUCCCAGUGUAGCGGUGAAAUGCGUAGAUAUUGGGAGGAAUACCGGUGGCGAAGGCGGCAUCCUGGACCGACAUUGACGCUGAAAGCCGAAAGCUAGGGGAGCAAACGGG